UCUGCAAGGCCUGUUGUGAGCACAAUCCACCGGGCCAGAUACGGAGGAGGGUGGCUUGGUGGCAGGAAAGCUGAGGUGAAGAGAGAAGAGCGGCAGGGUUGAAGUUGCAGGAACAGAGCUCAGGGAAGGUGGAGGGUCAGUUUGAGAUGACGUCAGUGGGUGGAGAGGGCAGCUCCAGGGACAGACCUGAGGUCAGUGUGUGUUUUAUCUGUUCUGUGGUAGCAGAAAGGGAUUUUGCUCAUGGUUUUCUGGUAGAUUCAGACGUUCCUCGAUUUGCAGCUCUGUGUGAGUAAAAACCAGGUGUCAAACCAGUUGUUAGAUGUUCUCUCUCGGUUUUUACAACGGCCCAACAAACUCUGACGGGGCCCGACACCUCCGUCAGGUGAGAGGAAGCUGAGGUGUGACACAGGAAAGAAUCAGGACAUGAUGGACUGGCCUUGUCUUGCGGCCAUUUGGUUCGACAUAGCAGCAGAUUUAUCCAGGGAGUCACAGACAGAUAGACAGUUUCAGACGUGAGCAGGAGAAGCCGCCUGAAGCCACUGAGGCCUCCAGCUCGACCCCACAAGAGGAGACACAGAUGAAGGUAAGGCUGAAGAGGACAUGACGGCCUUGCAGACGAUGCCCACCUCCCAUUUCCUCUCCUCCUCCCCUUUAGUUUCCCUCAUUUUCUACCUACUCUAACUUCCUCUUCCUCCCUGCACACCUCCUCCUCCUCCUCCUCCUCCUCCUCCCCUCCGCUCUCUCUGGCUCUGCCUCCUGCAGCUGAAGCAACACGCCUUGCUGUGGCUGGUCAAACGGAACCAAGUCAGGUGUUUCUGUGAGGUUUGGUCCCCUUCAACCAGCUACUGCGGCGUGAAUUCAGUCAGCACACACCGGCGUGGAAUCACAGAGACACGGUGGCGUUGUGGCGUAAUGCUGCACAUACUGUGGAGGUGGUAGUCAACAAACAGAACAGGGUUUGAUGUAUUUUGCUGUGUGGUGUUGGUUUUGUUUCCUGUGUGAUCAUUUGUGUGUGAAUAAAUAAAUAAAAGAUUCCUUACAAAAUA